rnacentral:rRNA from 1 species
CCCAAGGAUGGGGCCGCGGCCGAUCAGGUUGUUGGUGAGGUAAUGGCUCACCAAGCCUUUAACCGGUUCGGGCCGUGGGAGCGGUAGCCCGGAGAUGGGCACUGAGACAAGGGCCCAGGCCCUACGGGGCGCAGCAGUCGCGAAAACUUCGCAAUAAGCGAAAGCUUGACGGGGCCAUCCCGAGUGCCAUCUGCUGAGGAUGGCUUUUACCCAGUACAGAUAGCUGGGGGAAUAAGGAGAGGGCAAGUCUGGUGUCAGCCGCCGCGGUAAUACCAGCUCUCCGAGUUGUGGGGACGUUUAUUGAGCUUAAAGCAUCCGUGGCCGGCUGGGCAAGUCCUCUGUUAAAUCCAGCGACGAAUCGUUGGCCUGCGGGGGAUCCUGCUCGGCUAGGGGGCGGGAGAGGCCGUCGGUAUUCUUGGGGUAGGGGUGAAAUCCUAUAAUCCCAGGAGGACCACCAGUGGCGAAGGCUGUCGGCUAGAACGCGCCCGACGGUGAGGGAUGAAAGCUGGGGGAGCGAACCGGAUUAGAUACCCGGGUAGUCCCAGCUGUAAACGAU